rnacentral:rRNA from 1 species
UACGGGAGGCAGCAGGGGGAAUAUUGCACAAUGGGCGAAAGCCUGAUGCAGCUAUGCCGCGUGUAUGAAGAAGGCCUUAGGGUUGUAAAGUACUUUCAUCGGGGAGGAAAAACAAAACUAAUAAUUUUAUUUCUUGACGUUACCCGAAAAAGAAGCACCGGCUAACUCCGUGCCAGCAGCCGCGGUAAUACGGAGGGUGCUAGCGUUAAUCAGAAUUACUGGGCGUAAAGAGCACGUAGGUGGUUUUUUUAAGUCAGAUGUGAAAUCCCUGGGCUUAACCUGGAACUGCAUUUUGAAACUGAAAUACUAGAGUAUCGUAGAGGGAGGUAGAAUUCUAGGUGUAGCGGUGAAAUGCGUAGAUAUCUGGAGGAAUACCUGUGGCGAAAGCGGCCUCCUAAACGAAUACUGACACUGAGGUGCGAAAGCGUGGGGAGCAAACAGGGAUUAGAUACCCGU